UACAGAGGUCCCGAGCGUUGUUCGGAUUCACUGGGCGUAAAGGGUGCGCAGGUGGCUUGGCAAGUUUGAUGUGAAAGCUCAGGGCUUAACCCUGAAAUGGCAUUGAAUACUGUUGAGCUGGAGGUUUGGAGGGGGGACUGGAAUUCUUGGUGUAGCAGUGAAAUGCGUAGAUAUCAAGAGGAACACCAGUGGCGAAGGCGAGUCCCUGGACAAUACCUGACACUGAGGCACGAAAGCCAAGGGAGCAAACAGG
rnacentral:rRNA from 1 species